rnacentral:rRNA from 1 species
CAAUAGCGUAUAUUAAAGUUGUUGCAGUUAAAAAGCUCGUAGUUGGAUUUCUGGUCGGAAGCUCCUGUCCUCUGAUGAGCGUACAAGUGCGCCCUACCAUCCUUCUGUUAACCUUUAAGGCUUUCGCGGCUUUCUAGGGGCUCAGAUAUUUUACCUUGAGAAAAUUAGAGUGUUUCAGGCAGGCUAGCGCCGGAAUACAUUAGCAUGGAAUAAUGGAAUAGGACUUUUGCCUCUUCUGUUGGUCAUGAGGCUCGAGUAAUGAUUAAUAGGGAUAGUUGGGGGCAUUAGUACUUAACUGUCAGAGGUGAAAUUCUCGGAUUUGUUAAAGACUAACUUAUGCGAAAGCAUUUGCCAAGGAUGUUUUCAUUAA